rnacentral:snRNA from 1 species
GUGCUCGCUUUGGCAGCACUAUACUAAAAUUGGAACAAUACAGGGAAGAUUAGCAUGGCCCCUAUGCAAGAAUGACACGCAAAUUUGUGAAGUGUUCCAUAUUUUU